GUAGGUGACCCUGCGGAAGGAUCAUUG
rnacentral:rRNA from 1 species